AGUGAACGCUGGCGGUAGGCCUAACACAUGCAAGUCGAACGGCAGCACAGUAAGAGCUUGCUCUUACGGGUGGCGAGUGGCGGACGGGUGAGGAAUACAUCGGAAUCUACUUUUUCGUGGGGGAUAACGUAGGGAAACUUACGCUAAUACCGCAUACGACCUACGGGUGAAAGCAGGGGAUCUUCGGACCUUGCGCGAUUGAAUGAGCCGAUGUCGGAUUAGCUGGUUGGCGGGGUAAAGGCCCACCAAGGCGACGAUCCGUAGCUGGUCUGAGAGGAUGAUCAGCCACACUGGAACUGAGACACGGUCCAGACUCCUACGGGGGGCAGCAGUGGGGAAUAUUGGACAAUGGGCGCAAGCCUGAUCCAGCCAUACCGCGUGGGUGAAGAAGGCCUUCGGGUUGUAAAGCCCUUUUGUUGGGAAAGAAAAGCAGCAGGUUAAUACCCCGCUGUUCUGACGGUACCCAAAGAAUAAGCACCGGCUAACUUCGUG
rnacentral:rRNA from 1 species